rnacentral:rRNA from 1 species
AAUCGAACUCGGAGAUAGCUGGUUCUCCCCGAAAUAGCUUUAGGGCUAGCGUUGUGUUAGUUUACCGGAGGUAGAGCACUGAAUUGGCUAAGGGGCGAUGAGCUUACUGAACCUUAUCAAACUUCGAAUGCCGGAUAAAUGGUGCACAGCAGUCAGACAGUGUGAGAUAAGUUUCAUUGUCAAGAGGGAAACAGCCCAGACCCACAGCUAAGGUCCCAAAUGAACGCUAAGUGGAAAACGAUGUGGGGUUGCAAAAACAACCAGGAUGUUGGCUUAGAGGCAGCCACUCAUUAAAAGAGUGCGUAAUAGCUCACUGGUCGAGUGACCCUGCGCGGAAAAUAUAACGGGGCUAAGCGUCCAACCGAAGCUUGGGAUGUCUAAGGACAUGGUAGGGGAGCGUCGUGUAUAGGGAGAAGCAUGAGCGAGAGCACAUGUGGACAGUACACGAGUGAGAAUGCCGGAAUGAGUAGCGAGAAUUAUGUGGGAAUCAUAAUGGCCGAAAAUCUAAGGUUUCUUGGGGAAGGUUCGUCCGCCCAAGGUAAGCCGGGAGCUAAGGCGAGGCCGAAAGGCGUAGUCGAUGCACAUACGGUUGAAAUUCCGUAGCCGCCGAAAUUGUUAAGCACAGGGACACAUAGAGAUAUCCGAACCCGGGCGUUGGUUGACCCGGGCGCAAGGGACCGAACAUCAGUAGGGAAGUCGGAGAUGCUCUGUGGCGAGAAAAGCUGUGUGUAUUGAUUAGGCGCCCGUACCGCAAACCGACACAGGUAGAUGAGGAGAGAAUCCUAAGGCCAACGGGAGAAGGGUUGUUAAGGAACUCGGCAAAUUGACCCCGUAACUUCGGGAUAAGGGGAGCCUCCUACGGGAGGCCGCAGUGAAUAGGCCCAAGCAACUGUUUACCAAAAACACAGGUCUCUGCUAAAUCGAAAGAUGACGUAUAGGGGCUGACGCCUGCCCGGUGCCGGAAGGUUAAGAGGAGAGCUUAGCGCAAGCGAAGGUUCGAAUUGAAGCCCCGGUAAACGGCGGCCGUAACUAUAACGGUCCUAAGGUAGCGAAAUUCCUUGUCAGGUAAGUUCUGACCCGCACGAAUGGCGUAAUGAUUUGGGCACUGUCUCAACAGCCCGCCCGGCGAAAUUGUAGUACUGGUGAAGAUGCCAGUUACCCGCAACUAGACGGAAAGACCCCAUGGAGCUUUACUGUAGCCUAAUACUGAAGAUCGGUAAUGCAUGUACAGGAUAGGUGGGAGCCAGCGAAACCUGGGCGUCAGCUCGGAUGGAGGCAACCUUGGAAUACCACCCUUGUAUUGCUGGUUUUCUAACCUGCGGCCAUGAAUCUGGUCGGGGGACACUGUUAGGUGGGCAGUUUGACUGGGGCGGUCGCCUCCAAAAGCGUAACGGAGGCGCUCAAAGGUUGGCUCAGCACGGACGGAAAUCGUGCAUAGAGUGCAAACGCAUAAGCCAACUUGACUGCGAGACCGACGGGUCGAGCAGGUACGAAAGUAGGAGUUAGUGAUCCGGUGGUAUGUGAGUGGAAAUGCCAUCGCUCAACGGAUAAAAGCUACCCUGGGGAUAACAGGCUGAUCUCCCCCAAGCGUCCACAGCGACGGGGAGGUUUGGCACCUCGAUGUCGGCUCGUCACAUCCUGGGGCUGUAUUCGGUCCCAAGGGUUCGGCUGUUCGCCGAUUAAAGUGGCACGCGAGCUGGGUUCAGAACGUCGUGAGACAGUUCGGUCCCUAUCUGUUGCGGGCGCAGGAGAUUUGAAGGGAGCUGUCCUUAGUACGAGAGGACCGGGAUGGACAGACCUCUGGUGCACCAGUUGUCGUGCCAACGGCACAGCUGGGUAGCUACGUCUGGACGAGAUAAACGCUGAAAGCAUCUAAGUGUGAAACUCCCCCUAAGAUAAGAUCUCCCAUCCAUUAGGAGUAAGGGACGACAAAGACUAUGUCGUUGAUAGGUCGGAAGUGUAAGUGUAGUAAUGCAUUGAGCUGACCGAUACUAAUAACCCGAGGGCUUGACCU